GUACUCGCUUCGGCGGUACAUAUACUAACUUUGGGAACGAUAGAGAAGAUAAGCAUGGCCGCUGCGCAAGGAUGACACGCGAAAUCGUGACGCGUUUCAGGGUUUU
rnacentral:snRNA from 1 species